rnacentral:rRNA from 1 species
AUGGGAUCAGUUUGGAGAUGGUUUGCAGAAAAUUUCAACCAAAUUUUGGCGCAAAGAGCGAAUAUAACAAAAUUUGACCAGGAAACAACAGGUAAUGUGCAGGGGAAUGCAACAACCAUGGACACAAAUCUACCCAAUUUUACACAUCCCAGGAAUAACAACAGCUCAUAUAUAAUAUCUCAAAUUAGAUCAUCAAAAUUUAGUAUGAAUAAGAGAUGCAAUGGAAUUAUCUCCUGGCCUGGUAUACACAGAUUGCAGGAUUGGAAGAGGAACUUCAGUACAUGCCAAACUGGCCAGGAAAUCCCAGCUCACCGGAAAAUAGAGCGAUUUAGCCUAAUCUAA